rnacentral:rRNA from 1 species
AGUGAACGCUGGCGGCAGGCCUAACACAUGCAAGUCGAGCGGCAGCGCGGGGGCAACCCUGGCGGCGAGCGGCGGACGGGUGAGGAAUUCGUCGGAAUCUGCCUUCUUGUGGGGGAUAACGUAGGGAAACUUACGCUAAUACCGCAUACGUCCUACGGGAGAAAGUGGGGGACCGCAAGGCCUCACGCAGAAAGAUGAGCCGACGACCGAUUAGCUAGUUGGUGGGGUAAAGGCCCACCAAGGCGACGAUCGGUAGCUGGUCUGAGAGGAUGAUCAGCCACACUGGGACUGAGACACGGCCCAGACUCCUACGGGAGGCAGCAGUGGGGAAUAUUGGACAAUGGGCGCAAGCCUGAUCCAGCCAUGCCGCGUGUGUGAAGAAGGCCUUCGGGUUGUAAAGUACUUUUGUCCGGAAAGAAAUCCCUGGAGCUAAUACCUUCGGGGGAUGACGGUACCGGAAGAAUAAGCACCGGCUAACUUCGUG